CCCCCCCCCCCCCCUGAGCAGGCGGGUGGUUUUUGUUUACUUUUUAUUAUUUACGUUCACUACUAAUGUCCGGUAUGAUUAAAAAAAAGUGAAUGAUUUACAGGUAUUUAUUUCACGAGAGCAAACAUCAGAGAAAGGAUACAGUUUUUUUUUAAAUUUUAUAAUCAGCCUUUCUGAGCUUUUUUGUAACUCGAGGAACGCUUUUAUUCACUCCUAUAGCGACAGACAGCGACAGACGCGUUCGUUCUAAUUCUCUUAUAGUCAUA